rnacentral:misc_RNA from 1 species
CGACCCUCGCGCCCGGCUUCUGUCGGGGGCGGUGUUGGGGAUCGGCCACACCCUUCAGUGGGAGGCCGGCCCCUAAAUUCAGUGGCGACCACGCUGUAGCCUCCCCUGCGUAGUACUAAAACCACCUCGCAGGCGGAGAGCGGUGCGGCCCGCCGUAAAACCCCCCAACUUUUACAA